rnacentral:sRNA from 1 species
GCCGGGUGCAGUGGCACACACCUGUAAUCCCGGCAGCUCGGGAGGCUGAGACAGGUGGAUGAUGAGUUCAAAGCCAGCCUCAGCAACAGAGAGCUGCUAAGCAACUCAGUGAGACCCUGUCUCUA